rnacentral:lncRNA from 1 species
UGUUGCUAUGGUUAUGAAAAGCAAAAUGUAAAUCUUAAUUUUUCUCUUAUUCAAUUUCAAAGGAAAGAAGAUUCUAUAUGAUAUACUUGCCUUUGCCAAAGAAAGUGUUAAUUCUCAUGUUACUACUCUUGGGCCUCAAAAUUUUCCUGCCAGUGACAAGGAACCAUGGCUUGUUGACUUUUUUGCUCCUUGGUGUCCACCUUGUCGAGCUUUACUGCCAGAGUUACGAAAAGCAUCCACACUUCUUUAUGGUCAGCUUAAAUUUGGUACACUAGACUGUACAGUUCAUGAAGGACUCUGUAACAUGUAUAACAUUCAGGCUUAUCCAACAACAGUGGUAUUCAACCAGUCCAGUAUUCAUGAGUAUGAAGGACAUCACUCUGCAGAACAGAUACUGGAGUUCAUAGAGGUAUUUUAAAUUACAGCCUGAGGCUAGAAAUCCUGGUUAUGUG